rnacentral:rRNA from 1 species
AUUGAACGCUGGCGGCAUGCUUUACACAUGCAAGUCGAACGGCAGCGCGGGCUUCGGCCUGGCGGCGAGUGGCGAACGGGUGAGUAAUACAUCGGAACGUGCCCAGUAGUGGGGGAUAGCUCGGCGAAAGCCGGAUUAAUACCGCAUACGACCUGAGGGUGAAAGCGGGGGAUCUUCGGACCUCGCGCUAUUGGAGCGGCCGAUGGCAGAUUAGCUAGUUGGUGGGGUAAAGGCCUACCAAGGCGACGAUUUGUAGCUGGUCUGAGAGGACGACCAGCCACACUGGGACUGAGACACGGCCCAGACUCCUACGGGAGGCAGCAGUGGGGAAUUUUGGACAAAGGGCGAAAGCCUGAUCCAGCAAUGCCGCGUGUGUGAUGAAGGCCUUCGGGUUGUAAAGCACUUUUGGCGGGAACGAAAAGGACUGUGCCAAUACCACGGUUCGAUGACGGUACCCGCAGAAUAAGCACCGGCUAACUACGUG